AGACCCGAAACCCGGUGAUCUAGCCAUGGGCAGGUUGAAGGUUGGGUAACACUAACUGGAGGACCGAACCGACUAAUGUUGAAAAAUUAGCGGAUGACCUGUGGCUGGGGGUGAAAGGCCAAUCAAACCGGGAGAUAGCUGGUUCUCCCCGAAAGCUAUUUAGGUAGCGCCUCGUGAAUUCAUCUCCGGGGGUAGAGCACUGUUUCGGCUAGGGGGCCAUCCCGGCUUACCAACCCGAUGCAAACUGCGAAUACCGGAGAAUGUUAUCACGGGAGACACACGGCGGGUGCUAACGUCCGUCGUGAAGAGGGAAACAACCCAGACCGCCAGCUAAGGUCCCAAAGUCAUGGUUAAGUGGGAAACGAUGUGGGAAGGCCCAGACAGCCAGGAUGUUGGCUUAGAAGCAGCCAUCAUUUAAAGAAAGCGUAAUAGCUCACUGGUCGAGUCGGCCUGCGCGGAAGAUGUAACGGGGCUAAACCAUGCACCGAAGCUGCGGCAGCGACACUCAGGUGUUGUUGGGUAGGGGAGCGUUCUGUAAGCCUGCGAAGGUGGCCUGUGAGGGUUGCUGGAGGUAUCAGAAGUGCGAAUGCUGACAUAAGUAACGAUAAAGCGGGUGAAAAGCCCGCUCGCCGGAAGACCAAGGGUUCCUGUCCAACGUUAAUCGGGGCAGGGUGAGUCGACCCCUAAGGCGAGGCCGAAAGGCGUAGUCGAUGGGAAACGGGUUAAUAUUCCCGUACUUGGUGUUACUGCGAAGGGGGGACGGAGAAGGCUAUGUUGGCCGGGCGACGGUUGUCCCGGUUUAAGCGUGUAGGUGUGUGUUCCAGGUAAAUCCGGUUCACUUUAACACUGAGGUGUGACGACGAGGCACUACGGUGCUGAAGCAACAAAUGCCCUGCUUCCAGGAAAAGCCUCUAAGCAUCAGGUAACAUCAAAUCGUACCCCAAACCGACACAGGUGGUCAGGUAGAGAAUACCAAGGCGCUUGAGAGAACUCGGGUGAAGGAACUAGGCAAAAUGGUGCCGUAACUUCGGGAGAAGGCACGCUGACACGUAGGUGAAGUGAUUUACUCAUGGAGCUGAAGUCAGUCGAAGAUACCAGCUGGCUGCAACUGUUUAUUAAAAACACAGCACUGUGCAAACACGAAAGUGGACGUAUACGGUGUGACGCCUGCCCGGUGCCGGAAGGUUAAUUGAUGGGGUCAGCGCAAGCGAAGCUCCUGAUCGAAGCCCCGGUAAACGGCGGCCGUAACUAUAACGGUCCUAAGGUAGCGAAAUUCCUUGUCGGGUAAGUUCCGACCUGCACGAAUGGCGUAAUGAUGGCCAGGCUGUCUCCACCCGAGACUCAGUGAAAUUGAACUCGCUGUGAAGAUGCAGUGUACCCGCGGCAAGACGGAAAGACCCCGUGAACCUUUACUAUAGCUUGACACUGAACAUUGAGCCUUGAUGUGUAGGAUAGGUGGGAGGCUUUGAAGUGUGGACGCCAGUCUGCAUGGAGCCGACCUUGAAAUACCACCCUUUAAUGUUUGAUGUUCUAACGUGGACCCGUGAUCCGGGUUGCGGACAGUGUCUGGUGGGUAGUUUGACUGGGGCGGUCUCCUCCUAAAGAGUAACGGAGGAGCACGAAGGUUGGCUAAUCCUGGUCGGACAUCAGGAGGUUAGUGCAAUGGCAUAAGCCAGCUUGACUGCGAGCGUGACGGCGCGAGCAGGUGCGAAAGCAGGUCAUAGUGAUCCGGUGGUUCUGAAUGGAAGGGCCAUCGCUCAACGGAUAAAAGGUACUCCGGGGAUAACAGGCUGAUACCGCCCAAGAGUUCAUAUCGACGGCGGUGUUUGGCACCUCGAUGUCGGCUCAUCACAUCCUGGGGCUGAAGUAGGUCCCAAGGGUAUGGCUGUUCGCCAUUUAAAGUGGUACGCGAGCUGGGUUUAGAACGUCGUGAGACAGUUCGGUCCCUAUCUGCCGUGGGCGCUGGAGAACUGAGGGGGGCUGCUCCUAGUACGAGAGGACCGGAGUGGACGCAUCACUGGUGUUCGGGUUGUCAUGCCAAUGGCACUGCCCGGUAGCUAAAUGCGGAAGAGAUAAGUGCUGAAAGCAUCUAAGCACGAAACUUGCCCCGA
rnacentral:rRNA from 2 species